UACAAAUUACAAUGUCAAAACUCUGAAAGCACUCUUACCUUUAUUCAACGUUUUCUGCCGGUGAGCUAUUCCUAGAAAUGUCUUGUGAAGUGGAAUGAACCAGGAAUGAACGAGGCUCCUUUAGGUGUAAAACACGCCCCGUGCACAGGUAGAGAGAGGAGGUGGAACCGUUAGAGGAAGUCGGUAACGUUACGCUACAGUAACGCUUCAAGGCACUUGGUCAUUAUGAGAUGAACCCAUGUGUGAAGCCUGCCACCCCCUGGUUUCAAUUGGGACCCAUGCCAGAGUCAGCUGCAGAGAAACAGCCCUAGAAUGGGUCCUGUAUGCAGAGGAUGUUGGGUGAUCUGGCCACGUGCACGGAAUUGUUAGAUGCCAUCCAGCCACGGCGUGUGCUACAGAGCGACAUGGAGGAAACAAUCCUUGUGACUUGGCCUUGAAGUCGCUGUGACUGAUCUCACAGGUACGGCAUAAGAGGAAGCGGUGCGUUGUGUUCCUUUCCUCCCCACGUCAGUUUGCCAACUGGUUCUGAAUGGGUGCCAUUUUGAAACAUGCAAAUGUGGGUAGCCUCUGCCUGUAUCAGCUGAUGCAGGUCAGUGUUGUUUUUGGCCAGUCCUUAAAGGCCUGAGGGGAGAAAGACGUACCGACCGUUAGAAAAGGUCGCAUAAACUCUAGCGGGAUUACUUUACCAACACUUUCCAUGGCUGAGAUCCUGUGAAUAGAUCCAUUGUGGGGUGGGUCUGUGCUCGCGGAAAGCAAACCCUGUCAGGAUCCAGUUCAUUAGCACCCAGUUUACUGUUUGAAGUCACUUAUUUAUCCGGUGUCUAAAGGGGAACCCCGUUUAGACGCGUGUGUGCGUUUGUGUGUGUGUCUGUGUGUGUCCGUGUGUGUGUGUCCAUGCGCGGGCAUGGUAUGUGUACUUGUACAAAUGUACAGUACUCAUAGGAUCUACAGGGGGUUUCCAGAGCAAAUUGCUCAAAAGCAAAUAAAACUUUCCAUGGCGCAAUAAAAAUGUAUGGAGAACGAACAGGAGGGACAUUGGUGCAGGUCUGAAGGUGGGAAACAACCUUGAGAAUUUGUUGAAAAAAUAUAUACACAAGGUUUACACAACAGUGAGAUUAUGUCAUCAAAA